rnacentral:lncRNA from 1 species
UUCUCAAAAUAUUUUCUUUUCUUCAUGAGAAGUUCCUUCAAGAACUUUGCAUAUGACGACAUUUGCUGAAGUGCCUCAAAAAAUGGUAUGGUGAUUUCCAACUUCUUAAAAAUCUCCAUAAAUUGCUCAAACUGUUUUUCUUUCUCCUUCCUUGAAUAUGUCUUGGGAUAAGGAAGGGGGUUUUCAUACUCUUUUUCUUUUAAUUUUUCAACCUCUUCUUUUUGUAUCUCUCCCUCAACUCUUAUUUUUUCACUCUUCACACUUUCUUCUUCCUCUCUUUUCUCCCUCUGAUCACUUUUUUUCUCUUUACUCUGUUUUUCAUUCUCUCUUCUCUCAAUUUUUCUCUCUUUUUACACUCUUCCACCCCUAGUAACAACAGUCUCACAUGCUUCUCUUGCAGCACUUCUCUCAUUCCUCUCACCACCAUGCUCUUCCAUUCUAGUGUUCCUGUCCUCCAAACAUUUAAUAUAAAAUACACUUCUAUUCAUAACUUGCUCUGCUCCAAUAUAACAUCGUGAUAUUGUAACACUGACACGUCCUGUUGUUGGAUAAAAUCAGUACUUUCACUUCUCAUCUCAUUGUUACUAGCUGCCAUAUUCUCUAUCAGCUCAUAAGCUUCAUCAGCAGUCUUAUUCUGAAUAUUUCCUCCUACUGCAGCAAUCAAAAUAAGAUUGGACUAUAGGUUAAGACCUCCCAGGAAUGUAAGAACUAAUGUUGUUCUAUCAAAACCAUGAACAUGUGUCUUUCUCAGCAAACUUUUAAAGCUAUCCCAUGCCUGUCCAAGAGUUUCCUACAUGCCCUGUUUUAAGGAAGAAAUCUCCAACUUUCCUUGGAUAAUCUUUGAUUGUGGAAAAUAUUUACUCAAAAAUUUAGACGCCAUAGUUUCUCAUGUUGUAAAGCGUCCUUCUGCAAAAGAAUUCAACCAUAACUUGGCAUUGCCUCCC